rnacentral:tRNA from 1 species
AGCUCAGUUGGUAGAGUGCUUGCCUCACAUGCGAAAGGCCCUGGGUUCAAUCCCCAG